rnacentral:rRNA from 1 species
CAUGCGGAUUAAUUCGAUGCAACGCGAAGAACCUUACCAAGGCUUGACAUACACCGGUAACGCCCAGAGAUGGGUGCCCCUUUGUGGUCGGUGGACAGGUGGUGCAUGGUUGUCGUCAGCUCGUGUCGUGAGAUGUUGGGUUAAGUCCCGCAACGAGCGCAACCCUCGUCCUAUGUUGCCAGCGGGUCAUGCCGGGGACUCAUGGGAGACUGCCGGGGUCAACUCGGAGGAAGGUGGGGAUGACGUCAAAUCAUCAUGCCCCUUAUGUCUUGGGCUUCACGCAUGCUACAAUGGCCGGUACAAAGGGCUGCGAUACCGCGAGGUGGAGCGAAUCCCAGAAAGCCGGUCUCAGUUCGGAUUGGGGUCUGCAACUCGACCCCAUGAAGUCGGAGUCGCUAGUAAUCGCAGAUCAGCAACGCUGCGGUGAAUACGUUCCCGGGCCUU